GGCGGACGGGUGAGCAAUAUUUGGGAAUCUGCCUAUUAGUGGGGGACAACCCGGGGAAACUCGGGCUAAUACCGCAUACGCACUACGGUGGAAAGCCGGGGACCGCAAGGCCUGGCGCUAAUAGAUGAGCCCAAAUCGGAUUAGCUAGUUGGUGGGGUAACGGCUCACCAAGGCGACAAUCCGUAGCUGGUCUGAGAGGACGACCAGCCACACCGGAACUGAGACACGGUCCGGACUCAAUACGGGAGGCAGCAGUGGAGAAUAUUGGACAAUGGGGGCAACCCUGAUCCAGCGACGCCGCGUGGGUGAAGAAGGCCUGCGGGUUGUAAAGCCCUUUCGGUGGGGAAGAAAAGCCUCGUUUUAAUACAGCGGGGUCUUGACGUAACCCAUAGAAGAAGCACCGGCUAACUCUGUGCCAGCCGCCGCGG
rnacentral:rRNA from 1 species